rnacentral:rRNA from 1 species
GCAAGUCGAGCGGUAACAGCGAGUAGCUUGCUACUUUGCUGACGAGCGGCGGACGGGUGCGUAAUGCUUGGGAACAUGCCUUGAGGUGGGGGACAACAGUUGGAAACGACUGCUAAUACCGCAUAAUGUCUACGGACCAAAAGGGGCCUCGGCUCUCGCGUUUAGAUAGGCCCAAGUGGGAUUAGCUAGUUGGUGAGGUAAUGGCUCACCAAGGCGACGAUCCCUAGCUGGUUUGAGAGGAUGAUC